rnacentral:rRNA from 1 species
AGCGGAGGAAAAGAAACUAACAAGGAUUCCCCUAGUAACUGCGAGUGAAGCGGGAAAAGCUCAAAUUUAAAAUCUGGCAGUCUUUGAUUGUCCGAGUUGUAAUCUGGAGAAGCGUUUUCUGCGUUGGACCGUGUACAAGUCUCUUGGAAUAGAGCGUCAUAGAGGGUGAGAAUCCCGUCUUUGACACGGACUACCAGUGCUUUGUGAUGCGCUCUCAAAGAGUCGAGUUGUUUGGGAAUGCAGCUCAAAAUGGGUGGUAAAUUCCAUCUAAAGCUAAAUAUUGGCGAGAGACCGAUAGCGAACAAGUACCGUGAGGGAAAGAUGAAAAGCACUUUGGAAAGAGAGUUAAACAGUACGUGAAAUUGCUGAAAGGGAAACGCUUGAAGUCAGUCGCGUUGUCUAGUACUCAGCCUUCCUUUUGGAUGGUGCACUUGCUAGUUAACGGGCCAGCAUCAGUUUUGGUUGCGGGAUAAAGAUCAGGGGAAUGUGGCAACCUCGGUUGUGUUAUAGCCUCGGGUCAUAUGCCGUGACUGGGACUGAGGAUCUCAGUACGCCUUUAUGGCGGGGGUUCGCCCACCUUUCGUACUUAGGAUGCUGGCGUAAUGGCUUUAAACGACCCGUCUUGAAACACGGACCAAGGAGUCUAACAUGCCUGCGAGUGUUUGGGUGGAAAACCCGAGCGCGUAAUGAAAGUGAUAGUUGGGAUCUCUGUCGUGGAGAGCACCGACGCCCGGACCAGACCUUCUGUGACGGAUCCGCGGUAGAGCAUGUAUGUUGGGACCCGAAAGAUGGUGAACUAUGCCUGAAUAGGGUGAAGCCAGAGGAAACUCUGGUGGAGGCUCGUAGCGAUUCUGACGUGCAAAUCGAUCGUCAAAUUUGGGUAUAGGGGCGAAAGACUAAUCGAACCAUCUAGUAGCUGGUU